rnacentral:rRNA from 1 species
ACAGCAAUAGUGAAGGUCAGGCUGAAGACCUUACCCGAUUAGCUGAGAGGUGGUGCAUGGCCGUCGUCAGUUCGUACUGUGAAGCAUCCUGUUAAGUCAGGCAACGAGCGAGACCCACGUCCACAGUUGCCAGCAUACCCUCCGGGGUGAUGGGUACACUGUGGAGACCGCCGCUGCUAAAGCGGAGGAAGGAGUGGGCAACGGUAGGUCAGUAUGCCCCGAAUCUCCCGGGCUACACGCGGGCUACAAUGGUUGGUACAAUGGGCAUCUACCCCGAAAGGGGAAGGAAAUCUCUUAAAGCCAAUCGUAGUUCGGAUUGAGGGCUGCAACUCGCCCUCAUGAAGCUGGAAUCCGUAGUAAUCGCGUUUCAACAGAACGCGGUGAAUACGUCCCUGCUCCUU